UACGGGGGAGCAAGCGUUGUUCGGAUUUACUGGGCGUAAAGGGCGCGUAGGCGGCCACCGCAAGUCGACUGUCGAAAUCGUCCGGGCUUAACCCGGAAAGGUCAGCCGAUACUGCGGGGCUAGAGUGCAGAAGGGGCAACUGGGAAUUCUCGGUGUAGCGGUGAAAUGCGUAGAUAGUCGAGAGGAACACCUGCGGCGAAGGCGGGUGCUGGGCUGACACUGACGCUGGAAGCGACGAAAGCUAGGGGAGCGAACGGG
rnacentral:rRNA from 1 species